GCCCUGGUGGCUCAGCUGGUAUAGCGCAUGCCAUGUAUGCAGCAGCCCAGGUUUGAAUCUGGCCUGGGCC